UGAUACAGAAAAUUAAAUAGUAAAAUACCAUAUCACUAAGCCUUUGUGUUUCAAGUCAGUGCGAGGGAUCUGAAACUCUACGAACAAGUGAGAAGAGGAAAUGGAGGCUGGAAACACCCAGACAUCACCUGGCAGAAGAACUCAUCAAUGAACCAUGCGUAUUUAUGACAGAAUGCACAAUGGUGUGCACAUCGAGCACCCACGGCCCCAUCCACACAGACCAUGACUGCUUGAGACCUCCGGGGCUGAACCUUGCCUACGCCCGCAGCACCUGCCACCCUGGCCCUGUCAAGUCUCGUCUGUGCCACCUCUCAUUUCAGGCUCCAGUUUAACUGCCCCUUCUUCCAGGAAGGCUUCCCUGCCUGCUCCACUGCCACCCACAGAAGGUCAGAUAGUCCCACCAUCUCAU